GACGUAGGGUCCGAGCGUUGUCCGGAGUUACUGGGCGUAAAGGGCGCGUAGGCGGCUUUGUGCGUCACCCGUGAAAGCCCCCGGCUCAACCGGGGAGGGUCGGGUGAAACGGCGGAGCUGGAGGCAGCGAGAGGCUGGAGGAAUUCCCGGAGUAGUGGUGAAAUGCGUAGAGAUCGGGAGGAACACCGGUGGCGAAGGCGGCCAGCUGGCGCUGACCUGACGCUGAGGCGCGAAGGCGUGGGGAGCGAACGGG
rnacentral:rRNA from 1 species